AUUGAACGCUGGCGGCAUGCUUUACACAUGCAAGUCGAACGGUAAGGUCCUUCGGGAUACACGAGUGGCGGACGGGUGCGUAACGCGUACGGAAUAUACCUUCAACAGGGAGAUACCUCCGGGAAACUGGAAUUAAUACCCCAUAGUAUUAUAGAUUCGCAUGAAUUUAUGAUUAAAGCUCAGGCGGUUGAAGAUUAUCGUGCGUCUGAUUAGGUAGUUGGUAGGGUAAUGGCCUACCAAGCCAACGAUCAGUAGCUGGUCUGAGAGGAUGAUCAGCCACACUGGAACUGAGACACGGUCCAGACUCCUACGGGAGGCAGCAGUAGGGAAUAUUGGGCAAUGGAGGCAACUCUGACCCAGCCAUCCCGCGUGCAGGAAUAAGGCCCUAUGGUUGUAAACUGCUUUUAUUAGGGAAGAAAACUUACGAUUACAUCGGAGCUUGACGGUACCUAACGAAUAAAGCACCGGCUAACUCCGUGCCAGCAGCCG
rnacentral:rRNA from 1 species